CUGAGAUUGACUCAUUGAAUGAGGAUGAAGUGGUGAAGGAAUGGAAAAACUUACGUUAAUAGAGCUGGAUUGAAUCUGUAACAAAAUAAAUGUUUGCUAUUGAUGCAUCUGUGACACAGACAUUUGGUGAUGAAUGUAAUUUCUUGUUCUGCCUUAGGAUCAGUUUACUUGUGGAGAGACAGUCCCAGCCCCCUCCACCAACAAAGAACUAGUUAAAUGCUAAAGAAGACUUCAGGACUUCAAAGCCUGAACUUUUGGGAAUGAGCCAAGGUGGAAGAAUCAAAUGCAGAGUCACUGGCUUCUUCGUGUGGACCAUCAUUUUGUAGGUUGCUGUUCAUUAGCGUGUGGAUUCUUUCCAUUGGCGGCUGGGCUCAUCUCCAAUUGAAGAAGCAGGUUCACCACAUGACAUACCCAGGCAAUAACAGACAUCCUUGGUGUCAUAGUCUGCUAGAGCACAGAAGAGCAGGAAGAAGUUCCCUAAGUCCAGACGUCCCAGGAGAAAAGAAGCAAAUGGCACUGGUGAUGAAUAAACUGUGAUAAUGAGAACAAUUUUGUUUCCAAAGCAAGUGAAUCACUAAAUCUGUUAACCACAAAAACACAUAUCAGGAUUUAAUGCUAUGUUAAGCAGAAGGUAAAACCAGGUCUUGAAGGUCUGACUAGCAUUCUUUGUGGUGUGUGCCUUGUUUAGCUUAACAGACACUUCAGAGCCUCUGAGAACUGAUGGUAAUCCAGGCUUUGUCUCUUGCUAGCUUUGUGAUCUUUGGCAAGGCUAGUGGAUUCCUCAUCUGUACAAUUAGGAGACUGGUUCAGGGGGUUUCAAACGCAGUACUAUAAUUUCAGGCUUUGUAGUUUGCAGAUGCUGGAAUGAUAAUUGAAACCUUUCUAAACUAAACAUGAUCUACAAGGAUCAUGCAUGUACUUCAGUGUAUACAUUCAGAACCCUUAUUUUGUGGAAAGCACCCAACAUUUUUGAUAACUGUACAUAUUAAUUUAUUACCAGAAUAAAUUGUAUUGGCAUGCUAAAUAAAAGAUUAUUUAUAUCCCUUUGUUUUCAUGCAGUAUUCUUCCCCUAGACACCAGUGUUAAUGUAUUAAAAGGUUAUAGUGUGAUUUUAUAUGAGGUGGAAAUCUAACCUUUGGGAUAUUAUAAGUAGGUUUCUGAUAUGAACAGUAAGUUUUAAAAUAGGAAAGAAAUUGCCACUCUUUCUACAGUUUGACCACAUGAGUUUUGGUUCUGAAGUUUUAUUGUUAUUCAGGAAAAAAUAGCUUUGAAUUGUGGCAAUAAGGCAUAAAUAGUUGACAUUCUUUCUUUUUUUUUUUUUGUCUUUUUGCCUUUUCUAGGGCCGCUCCCUCGGCAUAUGGAGGUUCCCAGGAUAGGGGUCAAAUCAGAGCUGUAGCCACCGGCCUACACUAGAGCCACAGCAAUGUGGGACCCAAGCUGCAUCUGCAACCUACACCACAGCUCACGGCAACACCGUAUCCUUAACCCACUGAGCAAGGCCA
rnacentral:lncRNA from 1 species